rnacentral:rRNA from 1 species
UACGUAGGUGGCAAGCGUUGUCCGGAUUUACUGGGCGUAAAGCGUGCGCAGGCGGUGAUGUAAGACAGAUGUGAAAUCCCCGGGCUCAACCUGGGAACUGCAUUUGUGACUGCAUCGCUGGAGUGCGGCAGAGGGGGAUGGAAUUCCGCGUGUAGCAGUGAAAUGCGUAGAUAUGCGGAGGAACACCAAUGGCGAAAGCAGGUACCUGGACUAUUACUGACACUCAGCUGCGAAAGCUAGGGGAGCAAACAGG